ACAACUCUGGGUACGCUCGAGGAUGAGCGUUUAUUUAAGUUGGGGAGGAUGUGACGACCCAACCCGUCGUCACGUGAGUUACCUUCCCGUUUCCCCCUUAAUGUAUGGAUUCAUGUUUCAAUAUCAGUAUUAGAUUCGAUCGGGUGUAAUUAAAUUGGUUUUGGUUGAAAAUAAGGCACAUAUCCUCUUAGAAUGAAGCUUGUAUGAAAGACGCCAAUCGGUAGUUGAUUGAGUGGUUAGAGGGCUCAGAUGUGAAUUCCGGUGGUUCGGUUAGCUUCGGGGGAUUAUAUUUGACUUAGGUGUGCGACCGAAAUUGAAUUUGGAGGUCCGGUGUAGAAUUAGGCUUGAAUUGGCGAAGUUUGAAUUUUGGCCGAUCCCAGUUGAUAGGUGAGAUUUUGAUUCAAGGGUCGAAAUGGAAUUCCGAGAGUUUCUGUAGCUUCCCUAGGUGAUUUUGGAUAUGUGUGCAACAUUUCAGGUCAUUUGGACGUCAUUUGGUUGGGUUUUUGAUCGAAUGUGAGAUUCGAAAGUUUUAGUUAAACUUAGGCUUGAAUCCGUCAGGAUUUGAUGAUUUUUGUGUUAAGGGAUGUGUUUCGAUGAUUGGAGCAAGUUUGAAUAAUGUUUUAGAAUGAGUUGGUGCUUUUGGUUGAGGUCCUGGGGGCCUCGGGGUGAGUUCGGAUGGUUAAACGGAGAGUUUGGAAUUUGUUCCAUGUUUUGGAAUUUGGGGCCUCAGGAUGAGCUCGGAUGGUUAAACGGAGAGUUUGGAGUUUGUUGCAUGUUUUGGAAUUUCUUGUUCUGUCAUUUCAGCAGAAGCAGACAAGAGUCUGCAUAAGCCGUCCUUGAGGGUUUGGCAUUUUUCGCAAAAGCGUAAAGGUGUCUGCAGGAGCGGUCGCCGCAGGAGCGAUUUUUGACCGCAGAAGCGGUCCUCAAGAUCUUUAAGCUAAACCGCAGAAGCGGUUGUUGGGAUGCAAAAGCGGGAGACGCAGGUGCGGUAAUUCGACCGCAGAAGCGAAAAUCGGCCUUGGCAGAAGGGGUUUUUAUUGAACAUUUUAUCCGCGACUUGGG
rnacentral:lncRNA from 1 species